CAAUGCAUCCAAAAUCACUUCUGUGUUAGUUGGCUGUCCUGCUGCUGGGAUAAGAUAGUAAAAUACCUGACACCAGCACCUUAAAGGAGACCAAUAACAAACUGAGGAGGUCAGCAUCUCCCCUCCAGUCACCUCACCACCAGGGACUUAAUCCAGGUGACAUCAGGAUUACCUGGCUCACAGUCAUACGGAAGACCACUUUGAACACACCAAUCUGGGGAUGGGCAUCAGGCAAGCUGAUGAGCACAAGUGUAUCGUAACCUGCUCUGACCCAUGCACAGCGUGGCAACACCUUGGAGUGAGCACGGUUUCAGCACGAACGCUUUGAAGCAAGAGCACUGGUGUUUCGAGGCAUAGAAAUUUCACUUAAAAUGAUUUACUUGCAGCUGAGGACAGCCCAC